rnacentral:rRNA from 1 species
UUCGCAAUGCCCGAAAGGGUGACGAUGCGACGCCGCGUGAGCGAAGAAGGCCCUAGGGUUGUAAAGCUCUGUCGAGGGUUAUGAAAUAUAGAUGGGUUAAUACCCCAUUUAUUUGACAAAAGCCCAAAAGGAAGCCACGGCUAACUCUGUGCCAGCAGCCGCGGUAAUACAGAGGUGGCGAGCGUUGUUCGGUAUUAUUGGGCGUAAAGAGCACGUAGGUGGUUUUGUAAGUCAGGUGUGAAAGCCUUCUGUUCAAAGGAAGAACGGCAUCUGAAACUACAGAUCUUGAGUGUAGGAGGGGAGAGUGGAACUUCUGGUGGAGCGGUGAAAUGCGUAGAUAUCAGAAGGAACGUCGGCGGCGAAAGCGACUCUCUGGCCUAUUACUGACACUGAGGUGCGAAAGUUAGGGGAGCAAACGGGAUUAGAUACCCCGGUAGUCCUAACCGUAAACGAUGGGCACUAAGUAGAGGGGUUUU